CCUACGGGUGGCAGCAGUGAGGAAUAUUGGUCAAUGGACGCAAGUCUGAACCAGCCAUGCCGCGUGCAGGAAGACGGCUCUAUGAGUUGUAAACUGCUUUUGUACGAGGGUAAACGCAGAUACGCGUAUCUGUCUGAAAGUAUCGUACGAAUAAGGAUCGGCUAACUCCGUGCCAGCAGCCGCGGUAUUACGGAGGAUUCAAGCGUUAUCCGGAUUUAUUGGGUUUAAAGGGUGCGUAGGCGGUCGGAUAAGUUAGAUGUGAAAUCCCGAGGCUCAACUUCGGAAUUGCCUCUGAUACUGUUCGGCGAGAGAGUAGGUGCGGUAGGCGGAAUGUAUGGUGUAGCGGUGAAAUGCUUAGAGAUCAUACAGAACACCGAUUGCGAAGGCAGCUUACCAAGCUACUUCUGACGUUGAGGCACGAAAGCGUGGGGAGCAAACAGGAUUAGAUACCCGUGUAGUC
rnacentral:rRNA from 1 species